CAAAUUGCUACAUUAUUCUGAAUGCAUUCCCAAUCAAUUUUUUUAUGUGCACACAACUAAAAUAGGGCAACGAUUGCUACAAUAAUUACCUGAAAAUGGACGUAUCGUGCUUAAGGACUGUAAAGUAACGAGUUCUGCUGAAUUUUCUUAUUAAAAUGCGCGGAUAAAUAGCAGUUACGUUUUGAAGAAAGUAUGUAAUGAUCAAACAUGCUACGACGUUACUUUGUCCUUGACCUAUGAUAAACUUCACCACAACUGAAAGCAACUUUUAACAAAACUUACAAGAGUGUGCUGCGUUUGCUAUGCCUAACCAUUAAAUUAAACCAAUUUGACUGACUCUUGCCGCCAACAUAGUAACAAAACGAACAAUACAAACACCACCUAUAUCAUUCACCCUAAAUUAACAUCCCGUUUGUUCAGAGAAGCAAUGAAAAGCCGAUAACAAUAAAUCAACUACUUCGACAUCGAUGAGUUUGUUGUCAGCACUGUAGUGUGAGGGUGUGAGUGCCAUUUGACAUUCUGAUUCAAAGCUCCUUUUUAUUCCUAUUGUCCCACCAAUCUGUGCAUACUAUUUACCGCUAAAAUACAUCUCAUACUCUGACAUAAAAAGUGAUGACUUCGAUUACCAUCACGACAUCGACAUGAAAAGGUUGCCAGCGCUGAAGUGGGAAUUACUUUGACAUUUUUCUUCAAACUUGUGCAUUUCUUUGAAUCGCGAAUGCAUGUGUGCACGAUCAUCAUCAACCGCCAAAAUGGAAGAAGCACAUAUUGUAGCAAAAAUAUGCAACAGAGGCAACUAAACAGGCAACAAUAUAGCCGACAUCAUAUCAACUAUGCGUAAAAAGAUUCCAAAGAAUGCUGAACUUGAAGCUGAAUUGCCUAUCAUUGCGUAGGAAAAAGUUGCGAUUUACUUGAACCAAUGUACGUUGUUACUUCGCGGUAUAUUUCGAAGGAGUAGGGUGUGCUACUGGCUAUGGCGUCCUAGCAAUGUCAACCUUCCGAUAACCAGAUACUUUCCAAAAAGUGUGGUAAUGUGGACAACCAGUUAUGAUAUUAGACUUGGUGAAUCUAUAACCCUUGGACUUGCGUCAUCCAGAACCUUAUUUAAAGAAUUUUCGGGACAUCCCAAAUGUUACAUCAACUGUCUAAAUAGUAAUUUAGUGUCAAACCACCCUUUGUAUUAUAGGAAGUCUUUCAGUGUAUGAAGAAAUGAUUACAGGACGCUAAUGGUAAACCAAUGCUGCUCAAAUUGAAAGACUGCCUUGUGGAUGACAUUGCUGAAAUAUAACCGACGCAUUAUAAGUAGAAUGUGAUUGGAUUGCAUUUGCCAGCAUAUACGUUACACACGAAACAUUUCAGCAUAGCAAGUUGCUCGCCAAAAAUGUUGUUCGACCGAAACUUUAACGAAAGAUGCACAGUGAAUAUGGCUCAGCCUUCCAUCUCUAUAAAGGAACGACAAGCUGAGGCGCUGUCAAUAUAACGAUAUAUGUAGGAAAACCAGAAUAUUCCGACUAACUUUUUUAUUUUAGUAAUGUAUAAUUGGAAGCUGGAUUGCGUUAUGAAAGUAUCUGUGUAUAUAUUUCAACAAACUAUAGUCAUACCAAAGGACCACAAGCGCAGAUUAAAUUAAUUUGAAAUCUUGACUUCAACUCCAUAACAUUUAUGUAUCCACAUCUAUUUUUAAUUAUGUUAUUGGGGAUAAAAGCUAUAAUAUUGCCGACAGCAUAUCAGCUCUAUAUCUGCAAAGGAAUACUUGCAAAUUAAAUCAAAUUCCUACAUUAUUCUGAAGGCGUCUCCAACCAAUUUUUUAUGUGCACACAACUAAAAUAGGGCAACGAUUGCUACAAUAAUUACCUGAAAAUGGACGUAUCGUCCUUAAGGACUGUAAAGUAACGAGUUCUGCUGAAUUUUCUUAUUAAAAUGCGCGGAUAAAUAGCAGUUACGUUUUGAAGAAAGUAUGUAAUGAUCAAACAUGCUACGACGUUACUUUGUCCUUGACCUAUGAUAAACUUCACCACAACUGAAAGCAACUUUUAACAAAACUUACAAGAGUGUGCUGCGUUUGCUAUGCCUAACCAUUAAAUUAAACCAAUUUGACUGACUCUUGCCGCCAACAUAGUAACAAAACGAACAAUACAAACACCACCUAUAUCAUUCACCCUAAAUUAACAUCCCGUUUGUUCAGAGAAGCAAUGAAAAGCCGAUAACAAUAAAUCAACUACUUCGACAUCGAUGAGUUUGUUGUCAGCACUGUAGUGUGAGGGUGUGAGUGCCAUUUGACAUUCUGAUUCAAAGCUCCUUUUUAUUCCUAUUGUCCCACCAAUCUGUGCAUACUAUUUACCGCUAAAAUACAUCUCAUACUCUGACAUAAAAAGUGAUGACUUCGAUUACCAUCACGACAUCGACAUGAAAAGGUUGCCAGCGCUGAAGUGGGAAUUACUUUGACAUUUUUCUUCAAACUUGUGCAUUUCUUUGAAUCGCGAAUGCAUGUGUGCACGAUCAUCAUCAACCGCCAAAAUGGAAGAAGCACAUAUUGUAGCAAAAAUAUGCAACAGAGGCAACUAAACAGGCAACAAUAUAGCCGACAUCAUAUCAACUAUGCGUAAAAAGAUUCCAAAGAAUGCUGAACUUGAAGCUGAAUUGCCUAUCAUUGCGUAGGAAAAAGUUGCGAUUUACUUGAACCAAUGUACGUUGUUACUUCGCGGUAUAUUUCGAAGGAGUAGGGUGUGCUACUGGCUAUGGCGUCCUAGCAAUGUCAACCUUCCGAUAACCAGAUACUUUCCAAAAAGUGUGGUAAUGUGGACAACCAGUUAUGAUAUUAGACUUGGUGAAUCUAUAACCCUUGGACUUGCGUCAUCCAGAACCUUAUUUAAAGAAUUUUCGGGACAUCCCAAAUGUUACAUCAACUGUCUAAAUAGUAAUUUAGUGUCAAACCACCCUUUGUAUUAUAGGAAGUCUUUCAGUGUAUGAAGAAAUGAUUACAGGACGCUAAUGGUAAACCAAUGCUGCUCAAAUUGAAAGACUGCCUUGUGGAUGACAUUGCUGAAAUAUAACCGACGCAUUAUAAGUAGAAUGUGAUUGGAUUGCAUUUGCCAGCAUAUACGUUACACACGAAACAUUUCAGCAUAGCAAGUUGCUCGCCAAAAAUGUUGUUCGACCGAAACUUUAACGAAAGAUGCACAGUGAAUAUGGCUCAGCCUUCCAUCUCUAUAAAGGAACGACAAGCUGAGGCGCUGUCAAUAUAACGAUAUAUGUAGGAAAACCAGAAUAUUCCGACUAACUUUUUAUUUUAGUAAUGUAUAAUUGGAAGCUGGAUUGCGUUAUGAAAGUAUCUGUGUAUAUAUUUCAACAAACUAUAGUCAUACCAAAGGACCACAAGCGCAGAUUAAAUUAAUUUGAAAUCUUGACUUCAACUCCAUAACAUUUAUGUAUCCACAUCUAUUUUUAAUUAUGUUAUUGGGGAUAAAAGCUAUAAUAUUGCCGACAGCAUAUCAGCUCUAUAUCUGCAAAGGAAUACUUGCAAAUUAAAUCAAAUUCCUACAUUAUUCUGAAGGCGUCUCCAACCAAUUUUUUAUGUGCACACAACUAAAAUAGGGCAACGAUUGCUACAAUAAUUACCUGAAAAUGGACGUAUCGUCCUUAAGGACUGUAAAGUAACGAGUUCUGCUGAAUUUUCUUAUUAAAAUGCGCGGAUAAAUAGCAGUUACGUUUUGAAGAAAGUAUGUAAUGAUCAAACAUGCUACGACGUUACUUUGUCCUUGACCUAUGAUAAACUUCACCACAACUGAAAGCAACUUUUAACAAAACUUACAAGAGUGUGCUGCGUUUGCUAUGCCUAACCAUUAAAUUAAACCAAUUUGACUGACUCUUGCCGCCAACAUAGUAACAAAACGAACAAUACAAACACCACCUAUAUCAUUCACCCUAAAUUAACAUCCCGUUUGUUCAGAGAAGCAAUGAAAAGCCGAUAACAAUAAAUCAACUACUUCGACAUCGAUGAGUUUGUUGUCAGCACUGUAGUGUGAGGGUGUGAGUGCCAUUUGACAUUCUGAUUCAAAGCUCCUUUUUAUUCCUAUUGUCCCACCAAUCUGUGCAUACUAUUUACCGCUAAAAUACAUCUCAUACUCUGACAUAAAAAGUGAUGACUUCGAUUACCAUCACGACAUCGACAUGAAAAGGUUGCCAGCGCUGAAGUGGGAAUUACUUUGACAUUUUUCUUCAAACUUGUGCAUUUCUUUGAAUCGCGAAUGCAUGUGUGCACGAUCAUCAUCAACCGCCAAAAUGGAAGAAGCACAUAUUGUAGCAAAAAUAUGCAACAGAGGCAACUAAACAGGCAACAAUAUAGCCGACAUCAUAUCAACUAUGCGUAAAAAGAUUCCAAAGAAUGCUGAACUUGAAGCUGAAUUGCCUAUCAUUGCGUAGGAAAAAGUUGCGAUUUACUUGAACCAAUGUACGUUGUUACUUCGCGGUAUAUUUCGAAGGAGUAGGGUGUGCUACUGGCUAUGGCGUCCUAGCAAUGUCAACCUUCCGAUAACCAGAUACUUUCCAAAAAGUGUGGUAAUGUGGACAACCAGUUAUGAUAUUAGACUAAUGCUGUCGCCGACAUAAAACGUAUACAUUGGAGGAAA